CGAAGGGUGCAAGCGUUACUCGGAAUUACUGGGCGUAAAGCGUGCGUAGGUGGUGCGUUAAGUCUGUCGUGAAAGCCCCGGGCUCAACCUGGGAAUGGCGAUGGAUACUGGCGCGCUAGAGUGCGGUAGAGGAGAGUGGAAUUCCCGGUGUAGCAGUGAAAUGCGUAGAGAUCGGGAGGAACAUCAGUUGCGAAGGCGGCUCUCUGGACCAGCACUGACACUGAGGCACGAAAGCGUGGGGAGCAAACAGGAUUAGAUACCCUGGUAGUCCACGCCCUAAACGAUGCGAACUGGACGUUGGGAGCAAUCAGGCUCUCAGUGUCGAAGCUAACGCGUUAAGUUCGCCGCCUGGGGAGUACGGUCGCAAGACUG
rnacentral:rRNA from 1 species